GAUGAACGCUGGCGGCGUGCCUAAUACAUGCAAGUCGAGCGAACAGACGAGGAGCUUGCUCCUCUGACGUUAGCGGCGGACGGGUGAGUAACACGUGGAUAACCUACCUAUAAGACUGGGAUAACUUCGGGAAACCGGAGCUAAUACCGGAUAAUAUAUUGAACCGCAUGGUUCAAUAGUGAAAGACGGUUUUGCUGUCACUUAUAGAUGGAUCCGCGCCGCAUUAGCUAGUUGGUAAGGUAACGGCUUACCAAGGCAACGAUGCGUAGCCGACCUGAGAGGGUGAUCGGCCACACUGGAACUGAGACACGGUCCAGACUCCUACGGGAGGCAGCAGUAGGGAAUCUUCCGCAAUGGGCGAAAGCCUGACGGAGCAACGCCGCGUGAGUGAUGAAGGUCUUCGGAUCGUAAAACUCUGUGAUUAGGGAAGAACAAAUGUGUAAGUAACUAUGCACGUCUUGACGGUACCUAAUCAGAAAGCCACGGCUAACUACGUG
rnacentral:rRNA from 1 species